CCCGCCCCUGCCGGCCUCCCAUUGGCCCGGCGUUCGCCUCGGCGUCUUGACGUCCUCCGGCAGGCUGAAGUGCGGCUCGCGCCCUUUUCCCAUUGGACAGGGCACUCCCGGCAGAUUUCCUAACAUGGUGAUAGUGAUGGCCAACAGUGCAGCAGCAGCAAUAGUAGCAGUAAUUCUUUACUGAAUGAGACCCUGAUUCGGGCAGUGCCCUGGACGUGUUACCUGAGUGACCUCACCAGUCCAUACAGUAAAGGCUGGUUUGAGAAGCCGGGGCAGGGAGUGAUGAGAAAGGAGAGCAGGAAGCAGAAACCAGAAACUUCAUACUGAGAGUCAACUGAAGAUCAUUCAUAAUUCAAGAGAGGGCACUUGGCAAAUUGAAAUCAAAAAGAAAAAUGAAAUACCUAGGAAUAAACCUAACGAAAGAGGUAAAAGACCUGUAUU